UACGUAGGGGGCUAGCGUUGUCCGGAAUCAUUGGGCGUAAAGCGCGUGUAGGCGGCCCGGUAAGUCCGCUGUGAAAGUCGGGGGCUCAACCCUGGAAUGCCGGUGGAAACUGUCGGGCUAGAGUCCGGAAGAGGCGAGUGGAAUUCCUGGUGUAGCGGUGAAAUGCGCAGAUAUCAGGAGGAACACCAAUGGCGAAGGCAGCUCGCUGGGACGGUACUGACGCUGAGACGCGAAAGCGUGGGGAGCAAACAGG
rnacentral:rRNA from 1 species